rnacentral:misc_RNA from 1 species
GAUGAAGAACGCAGCGAAAUGCGAUACGUAAUGUGAAUUGCAGAAUUCAGUGAAUCAUCGAAUCUUUGAACGCAUAUUGCGCUCUCUGGUAUUCCGGAGAGCAUGCUUGUUUGAGUAUCAGUAAACACCUCAACUCCCCUUUCUUUUUUUGAAAUGGGAGCUGGACUUGAGUGAUCCCAACGCUUUUCUCACCGAAAAGUGGCGGGUUACUUGAAAUGCAGGUGCAGCUGGACUUUUCUCUUAGCUAAAAGCAUAUCUAUUUAGUCUGCCUAAAAAACAGAUUAUUACCUUUGCUGCAGCUAACAUAAAGGAGAUUAGUUCUUGUGCUGACUGAUGCAGGAUUCACAGAGACAGCUUCGGCUGGCCUUUGUAAACUCGAUCUCAAAUCAAGUAAGACUACCCGCUGAACUUAAGCAUAUCAAUAAGCGGAGGA